rnacentral:rRNA from 1 species
AGCUCCAGUAGCGUAUAUUAAAGUUGUUGCAGUUAAAAAGCUCGUAGUUGGAUUUCUGGCUGACCGUUGUAUGGUCCGGCGUCCUCAGGAUGCUGUGUACCGUCGCGCGUUUGCCAUCCUUCCGGAAAGUUGUGCCUACCGUCUCGCACGGAAGGGCGCUUCAAUCUGGAUCGUUUACUUUGAAAAAAUUAGAGUGUUCCAAGCAAGCAUCUGCUUGAAUACAUUAGCAUGGAAUAAUAAUAUAGGACUUCUGUUCUAUUUUGUUGGUUUCUAGAACCGAAGUAAUGAUUGAUAGGGAUCGUUGGGGGUGCUAGUAUUCAGCGGCCAGAGGUGAAAUUCUUGGAUUCGCUGAAGACUAACUACUGCGAAAGCAUUCACCAAGGAGGUCUUCUUUA